CGGCCGCGGGGCGGCCACCGGCGAGCGGCGGCCGAGGGCGCGGAGCGGCGAGCGGAUACUCCGCGCAGCCCGCCCGGCGUGCCCGCGGGCAUGGAGCAGGACAAGUACCUGCCCCAGCUGAUGGCCGAGAAGGACAGCCUGGAUCCCUGCUUUGUUCAUGCCAUGCGCCUCCUGGAAGACGAAAUGGAAAAAUUUCAGGGUUCUGAAGGCAAGAAGGAAGAUGAAGAAAAGAAAUAUCUUGAUGUUAUCAGCAACAAAAAUAUAAAGCUGUCAGAGAGAGUUCUGAUCCCUGUCAAACAAUAUCCAAAGUUCAAUUUUGUUGGGAAAUUGCUUGGACCAAGAGGAAACUCUUUAAAGAGGUUACAAGAAGAAACAGGUGCAAAAAUGUCCAUCCUGGGAAAAGGAUCCAUGAGGGAUAAAGCUAAGGAGGAAGAACUAAGGAAAAGUGGAGAAGCCAAAUACGCGCACUUGAGUGAUGAGCUUCACGUAUUAAUUGAAGUUUUUGCUCCGCCUGGGGAGGCGUAUUCUCGUAUGAGUCAUGCCUUGGAAGAAAUAAAAAAAUUCCUGGUUCCUGAUUAUAAUGAUGAAAUUCGCCAGGAGCAGCUGAGAGAACUGUCAUAUUUGAAUGGUUCUGAGGACUCAUCACGUGGACGGGGCAUUCGAGGAAGAGGGAUCCGUGUGCCACCUGCAGCUCCUUCAAGGGGUCGUGGGGGUGCAAUUCCUCCACCCUUGCCUGGACGAGGUGCCCAAGCACCCAGAGGAGCGCCGGUGACCCGUGGAGCCCUCCCUGUGCCACCAGUGGCAAGGGGCGUUCCCACCCCUCGAGCCAGGGGCGCCCCGUCUGUCCCGGGUUACAGACCACCCCCGCCACCUGCACACGAGGCCUACGAGGACUAUGGAUACGAUGAUGGGUAUGGGGGUGAAUAUGAUGAUCCAAGCUAUGAGGCAUAUGAUAACAGUUAUGCUACCCAAACACAAAGUGUGCCUGAAUAUUAUGACUACUGUCAUGGAACAAGUGAAGAGGCUUAUGACAGCUACGCACAAGAAGAAUGGGCCACAACCCGUUCCAGCCUAAAGGCACCACCUCCAAGGUCAGCCAGAGGGGGUUACAGGGAACACCCCUAUGGUAGAUAUUGAAGGUCCUCCUCAUCUGUGACCUCAUCUCAAAGACAAUUAAUAGCCUGUGGUCUCCACAUAAACAGCAACAAGACAAGGACUCACAGGCACUGGACAGCUAAGCAGCAGAUCUGCUGAGAAGUGGUCAGGAUGCAUUAGCUCAUGAUGGAUGGCUUCCUCACAGAAAAACAGUGAAUACCUUUGUUACAUGCCCUUGCAUUACAGGACCUUCACACUGUGUUACCACCAAGUCAGAGGUCUUACAGAAAAUCUUGGGAUCUGAUUUUCAUCAGAGUUACAGGUGGCAUCACAGGAGUUUUUCCUGACUCUGCAAAGUGCUGUUUAAGGUUAGGUGCAAGCAUUGGGUUUCCCAGGAUUUUUGGAGCCUUAGGGAAGUACUGUACCUUUUGAAUGGUGUUCAGGGAACUGAGAGUGCUCAACAUCAUUUGCAAUAAAUCACUCUGUUAUGAAGGACUGAGCCUCAGGUCGGGAUUCUCCACAGCCCUGAGUUCUGGACCUCAGGCUACCACUCAGACUUAAAGUGAUCUUCCAGUCUAUCAGCAUCCCUAAAGACUGGGAUAUGUUGCUGUACUCUUACACUGUAGUGAGGAUGUCCAAAAUCAGGUCUUCUCUGUUUUAACCCAGCAGGAACAGCAAUUGCAAGGCAGCCAACCUGAAGUCCCUCAACCACCUUACCUUACAUAAAGGGAAGGUCUGUUCUCCCUUCCCCUGGCAGUUAUACCAUUGUGCUGGAAGAAUUUUCUACUGUCUUCUAUUUCUAUUUUCUAAUAUCUUUUUAAUGUCUUUUUAGUGUCUUCUGUUUCACAUUCUCAAGUGUGGGACCUUACAUAUGUUGUAGUAGUUUUUGGUAUUGGUUGAAGUCCCAUUAAGCUUCUGAAGUUCUUAAAUUGUUUCUUGGAGGGUUUGGGGUUUUUUUCAUGUAACUUAGGUUAUAAAAGUAGCACCAUAAACAUUAAUUGAAGAGCCAUUAAGCAGUAUGGCUGUUUGUUUUGGGUUGAUAGAGGACAUAAAGCUUCAUACCCUGUGGUGGAAAACAAUUAGAUCUGAUGAUGAACAUGCUAUUAAAUAUACCAUUACCAAACUUCUAUCAGUUUAACUUUAGAAAAUAGCAACCAGCUGUAGCCAAAGCAUACACAAGUGAUAGAAAGUCAUAUUUUAAUAUGACUGUUAUAAAUAUUGUCUUUUCUAAUGUUUUAUGCUAAUGACAGUGACUAAUAGUAGUCAUUACCUCCAUUCAUUCUCAUAAAAAUUUCCUCAAGAGGAUGAUCACAACUGGAAUGCUGUUUAAAAUAAACCAUUUUUCUAAAAUAGAGAACAUAAAAACCAUUUAAAUACCAAGAGGUUGGCUAGCUAAUUUAUUUUUUAAUAGCAUGUGUUCAACAACUACAGCUUUUGUUAAUUGUGCUAUCAGUUGAACAGAUAUUCCUUUCAGAAACAUUUUUGGCAUACUAACGUGUGUACAUGUCAUGUCUUCAUGUGGUCUCUGAAGAGUGGGAUAAAAGGUGAAUCUUAUAGAGGCCAGAAAAAAAGUCUGAUGCUACCCCUGUAGAGGCUUGAUAUUAAGAACAUUGAAUUUCCUCAUCCAUUUCUUAUUUCAGUUAUGAAUUCUGCUUACUUGACAGGUGCAGAGUACUUCAUUAUGUGCAUGAACAGAAAUGCUUAAAUGGAUGAAGCAGCUAUUUACGUCUGAUAGGAGCUAAGUGGGACAUUAAAUUAAUGCCAAACAAAACUGGAAAUGAAGUGACUUUUUGGCGCAGUGACUUUUUGGCAUAGUGACCACAAAGGACAGCAAUGAUCAAAUUCAAGCCAACACAAACCCUCACUGAUGCUUAUCAACUUAAAGAGAUUUGAAAUCAAACCUUCAGUUCAAUGUUACACACGUGAUGCAGCUGUGUGAUGAUGCACAUGUGAUGAGGCAAGUGAGAUUUCAUACUCUUAAGAAUCAGAGAAAUAAAAGGAUAUUUAUUUUACCCCUUUAAAAGAGUAUAUGGAUCUGAUACCAGAAAAAGUUGAGGAAAUAUAAAACAUAAGCUUAUCAUUGAAAUCUAUUUGGUUUUUCUACACAGAGAGUUUUAGCACCCCACUGCAUCAGAGACAAAGUGUUUAAUAACUGUUAAGUGUUUUAGCACAGACCUGGAAUUGCUGUCUGUCAUAUUUGCAGUGCAUAUAUAUGUGAUACAGAAUGGAGAUAUACAGAGUGGAGAUAUACAGAAUAUUCCAUUGUACAAACUAAAGCUAUAACAAUGAGCAAACUGCUUAAACCAUAGUGCUCAGGGAAUGAAAUUUGAAAUUCUUUUCCAGAGUAGUUUAUUUUUGGACAGUGUUUUUUUCUGGAAGAGAAUAAAUACAGAGCUGCUGGAGAGCACUGAGAAGUUGGGAAAGAAUGAGGAUGUAGGUGUUGGUGCUGAGGACCCAGGGCACAAGCAGUGAUCUUGGAAGUUCUGCCUCUUCUGUUUUGUGCUGUGGUUUUAGGCUGUACAGAUCCCAGUAGGACAAUCCAUAAUUAAGUUGGGGUUUAAGGGCUUUCAGUCUUCCUCUUCUCAAGUCACGCUCCAGCCAAGGCUCCCAGCCUCAUGCCAGGGGCUCCAAAAGUUGGAGCUUCUCCAGGACACAGCAGGAGAUAAAGGAACUAAGUGCUCCAGGUCAACCUGCCUAGUGAGGGGGGGG